CACGUAGGGUGCGAGCGUUGUCCGGAAUUAUUGGGCGUAAAGAGCUCGUAGGCGGUGUGUCGCGUCGGCCGUGAAAACCUGGCAGCUUAACUGUGGGCUUGCGGUCGAUACGGGCAUCACUGGAGUUCGGCAGGGGAGACUGGAAUUCCGUGGUGAUAGCGGUGAAAUGCGCAGAUAUCAGGAGGAACACCUGCGGUGUAGACGGCUUACUGGACCAUAAACUGACGCUGGAGGCAACGGAAAGCCGUGGGUAGCAAACACGGA
rnacentral:rRNA from 1 species